ensembl:processed_transcript
GUGGCAGAACUGCACUGUUCCCGAAGGCCCAUAGAAACUGAAGGACAUCACAUCACAUCACACACUGCUGACGCGUUUGUGUUUUCAGCACCUUGGACAGCGGCCAAACAGAAGCGCACGCCGCUGAGUAAGUGCGAGAGGUUCUCCUGCUGCUGCACUGCCAUUGGUCAGAUUUUCCGAGGUCGUGUGACUCAUAACGGAGCCAGAAGGCAGAAACACAGUGAUGAGCUCAACCGUGACUGAACUGGGCUGAUCAGACAGACUGAGCUGCACCUGCAUCCGAACCACAGCAGCCAUUUGUGGACCGAGACGUUCCCUCUGCAACCAGCACUUUGUUUUUGAACCGUUUCCCCCAGGUUUCUGUUUAUUUGCCUGGCUCCAGCCGAGCCUUGCCCUCUGGUGGCUUACGACACAAUAGGAGAAUUCAAACAGCCAACGGUGAUACUCCAGGGCAGCGCAGCAGCUAUGCAGCUUGAAAUCCAAGUAGCACUCAACUUCAUCAUUUCGUACUUGUACAACAAGCUGCCCAGGCGACGUGUCAACAUCUUCGGCGAGGAGUUAGAGCGACAGCUGAAACAGAAAUACGAGGGACACUGGUACCCGGACAAGCCAUACAAAGGGUCUGGAUUCAGGUGUAUACACGUUGGG